CUGACCUUGAAAAGCUGGUACAUAGUGUAUCUCCUGCAAGUUCUAUGGAUUUUUUUCAAAUCCUUUAUUAUAAUCAAUGGAUCUCUAAAAUAGCAUUUUUUUUUUUCCACUAGGUUAGACAUAAAAUCUUCUUUAGACAGUUAGAUUUGAGGGAAAUUUUAUUAUACUUAAUUUCAGUAGUGAUUUGCUGUUUCAUCUUAGUCUGUCUUAGCCCUUAACAAAUUGAAGUAUCUGUCCUACAGAAUUCACAGUAGCGAUGAAAUGAUGUAGUAAUCAAUUUUUACUUCAUUCUUUCCCUGUUUUUAAGAACUUGGAAAGAUGUCUGUGUUCUGCACUGUGAGAGCUGAGUCCACAGAUUGUUUGAAGGAAAAUACUUGCAGACAACAAGUAAGGGAUGUUGAAAUCUUACAAAUUUAGAAGGCCAUACUCCACCACUGAAUGCUGGAAGAGUUUGAGACUGCUAGAAGAUUUAUUUUACUGAGAGAAAGCUCUGUUUUCAGAUACUGCAGGCUGGAGGAAUCCAUAGAGUCUUUAAACAAGUGUGAAUUCCUGCUCCUGCCCAAGCUGCUGACUGUGUGACAUGAUUUCCGGGUACCUGUCUGGAAGAGAAGAAGAACUACGUUCCCCAAGAGCCUUUUCGAGUACUGUUAUCAUUCCUGCUCAAGGGAACAGAUAUAAGGACGCAGGUCAUCUGACUUGUCCCUCUUCUCGUCUCGCCAUAUUCCCUGUCGGAUCGGCUCGCUACUGCUGUGCCCGACUGCACGCAAGGCUUCAGUAUUAGUGCAUAUGUGACCCAUCCAGGCCUUGUUGACAUAGAAAGUUAAAUUGCAAGCUGAACAUCAGGAUAUAGGAUACACGCUCAGCUAAAGGCACUUGGUUAAAGCAAGG
ensembl:lncRNA